rnacentral:lncRNA from 1 species
AUAAAAAAUCAAAGCACCAAAGGGUGCUAUAGGCAGUUAAUCAAAAACCCAAAGGCAAACUUGGCCACGUUCAGAUGAAUAGUGUAAAGAAUUAGUCAAAAUAUUUAUCUCAGGCAUUGUUCUCAGCUAUUUCUAAAGUAUCAAAUAAUGCUUGUACAGUAAUGUUUAUGUUAUGCAAUCCUACCACUUUCAAAAGUUAUUUCCAAUUUAUAUUUAUAAAGAUUCAAUGUCUGAGAUUAUACACAUACACUGUCCUAUGUUAGGGGAGAGUUUUGUGCCAGUUAAGAUGUUUAAGCCGCCACAUUCUGUAUGUACCUGUCCAUAGUGAGGACCCACUAAUGCGGUGAUUGUUGCUGUAUAUCAUAUUUAUUUUUCAUAAUUGUUUUGUACAUUUUUUAAAAUUUUAUUAAUUUCUUGUGUAUAUACUUCUGAUUUUAGUAUGAUGUCCAAGUUAUUGUAAAUGCUCUUUUGUUCCGACGUUGGAAAGUUCCAGGCGGAAAGAACUAACUAGCCGAAAAGUUCUCCAGAACUUAUUAACUACAUUGUAGUUACUUUGUUCUUCCUCUGGUUUAAAAGUUCCACCUGAACAAGUGACUAGUUGAAAUAGUUUACAUUUUUGUUAUCAUGGUUAUUGUGUUAAGGGGCCAGCAAAAGCAAUCCUUUGGGUGUAGGAGUUUCUCCCUGCAUUAAAGAUCCAUUGGUAACCUUCGACUGUUGUCUGCUCUAAGAUCUGGUUAUUGUCUCUAUGACACAUUCCCCAUUUUCACUCUCGAUUUUUUUUUACGUCUCAAAUUAUAACUGAAUUAAAAUAUGUUGAUUACGGUUUAACUGUCUUCCAUUACUAAUAUCAUAAUAAAAAAACAUUUAUUUAAACUUUCAAUAACUGUAAUAGUAAGAAUUAAGAAAAACUUGUUUGUAACUUCAACUUGUUGAAAACAUAUUAAACGUUUCUCGAGUCUCGUUAGUCGAUACUCGUAUAUGUCUUUCUUUUUCGUUAUCAUCGACUCGUUACCUUUUUAUCGUAUCAUGCGAUUUCUUUUCUUAUUAUUUUCAUGGGGAAAUCGUUUACCAGCAUAAAGUUGCUGAAGGAACCGCAUAGAAUUGAUUCAAUAACACUUAACGAGUGUUUAAAUGUGAAAAAUUAUAAAAAGAAACAUAUAAAAAAAGUCGUAUUUUUCUGUACCGGAAAUCGAAAAGUCCUUGUAAAUCAAAAACAAUUACGGUGUGAUACGCGUCACAGAUUCGGACUUAAUAUUUUACAAAAUAUGCGACUUUGAAGUUAAAUAAUGCCGUCCUUUAGAAAACAGUUGUUAAAGUUUACAUCACAAUAUUUAUUGAACCACAUCGAGCUUAAUCAAAGCACGUGUAGCAUUAUGUUACAUUGUACACAAAAGCGAAACAAUCUUAAAAUGACCUUGACAUCGACCAAUCAGAAAACUACAAUAACAAC